UAUUCCCCACUGCUGCCUCCCGUAGGAGUCUGGGCCGUAUCUCAGUCCCAAUGUGGCCGUUCAACCUCUCAGUCCGGCUACUGAUCGCAGCCUUGGUAGGCCGUUACCCUACCAACUAGCUAAUCAGACGUGAGCCCAUCCCUCAGCGGAUUUCUCCUUUGGUAUCCAGAAGAUGCCUCCCGAAUACGUCAUGCGGUAUUAGCAGUCGUUUCCAACUGUUGUCCCCCUCUGAAGGGCAGGUUGCUCACGCAUUACUCACCCGUUCGCCACUCAGUCAAAGAAGAACUUUGACGAAUCUCCAUUCUUCAGUGCUUCGUUCGACUUGCAUGUGUUAGGCAUGCCGCCAGCGUUCAUCCUGAGCCAA
rnacentral:rRNA from 1 species